UUUCAUAGUUAUUUCACCUUCUAAGUCAUUAUUUUCUUUCUGAAAGCAUAAACUACAAAUCAAGAAGCCUGAAACUCUUCAACUAAUGUUAAGAAAAGACUGCCGAAUUUUCAACGAAUUUAAGACCAGACUCAGAGCCAAAGCACUUGCCCAACUUGAAACUUCAAAACAAUUCGCUUCCUAACGUGGUCCAGAAUUUAUCUUUUGCAUCUGUUCCCUGAAAGGCAACUUUGGAUCUGACUCUGUCACCCAGGCCGAGAGUGCAGUGGCAUCAUCCUGGCUCACUGAAGCCUUAAAUUCCUGGGCUCAAGCAAUCCUCCUGUCUCAUCCUCCCCCAGUAACAAGAACUACAGAUAUGGACCACCACACCUGGCUAAUUUUUCUUAUUUUUUAGGGAAGGAUCUCACCAUGUUGCCCAGUGUGUUCUUGAGCACCUCACUUCCAGCAAUCCUCCCACUCCAGCCUCCCAAAGAACUGGAAUUACACCUGUGGUGCAUCUUACAGGGGUAUUUGCAACACUUGGUAAAUGUAGAAUGUAAAUGUUUUGGCACAGUAACUGAGAUAAUGCCAGGAAGGCUAUGUUAACCAUUGU